rnacentral:rRNA from 1 species
GAUGAGCGCUGGCGGCGUGCCUAAUACAUGCAAGUCGAGCGAACAGACGAGGAGCUUGCUCCUCUGACGUUAGCGGCGGACGGGUGAGUAACACGUGGAUAACCUACCUAUAAGACUGGGAUAACUUCGGGAAACCGGAGCUAAUACCGGAUAAUAUAUUGAACCGCAUGGUUCAAUAGUGAAAGACGGUUUUGCUGUCACUUAUAGAUGGAUCCGCGCCGCAUUAGCUAGUUGGUAAGGUAACGGCUUACCAAGGCAACGAUGCGUAACCGACCUGAGAGGGUGAUCGGCCACACUGGAACUGAGACACGGUCCAGACUCCUACGGGAGGCAGCAGUAGGGAAUCUUCCGCAAUGGGCGAAAGCCUGACGGAGCAACGCCGCGUGAGUGAUGAAGGUCUUCGGAUCGUAAAACUCUGUUAUUAGGGAAGAACAAAUGUGUAAGUAACUAUGCACGUCUUGACGGUACCUAAUCAGAAAGCCACGGCUAACUACGUG